CCUUUCCCAGAGAGGACUUCUGUGGAUCCAUGACUAUAUUGAACUACAGCUGAGAUCAUUCACAUGUCAUGCAUGUGCAUUGUCCACUAGGCCACCUGCCCAACAUUGAGUGUUUUUUUCAGUGCUGGAAUUAUCUGUGGGUCAGCAGGAGGCAUUUGAAGUCUUUCUGAGAGACCAUGAAGACCGUUUAUCAAUUGAAAAUAACAGAACUGUGUUGCAACAAAGGUUUAUUGAAGCCAAAACACUUGGUGAGCAAGUUAACCAGAUCAGGAUCAGAGUCAGUAAG